AAUUAAAGUCACUCGGACAGUCGACGACACAUCACGCAUCAUCGCCGCCCCAUCCUCCACCAGUUCAUGUUCAGCCCCCCUUCUCCCUCUCUCUCUCCUCCUCUCUCUCUCUAAAUUAGCUGCAAAUCGACGAGCAUUCAUCCAUGGAAGCGGGGCGAUGGGCGCCGUCGGGGCCGCCGUCCAGUCGCGCUGCGGCACCUUCCCGAGCUCUCGAAGAUGGAGACGGCUUCCUCCUCGAAUUUCACGGAGAGAGAGAGAGAGAGAGAGGAAGAAGCUCGCGCGCCGCAGCCGCUUGUGCACUGCGUCCGGCCGGACUUUGGGUGGAUUCCGCCGUCCGCCGGAACUGAUCGGAAGCCAUCGCCGUCUUCCGGCCGGGCCACCGAUGGGAAUCUUCUGCAGGUGGAAAUGGUUUGGUGAGCACCAUGGAUAUGCUCAGUUUUGUGUGUUGGAUCCGGUGGACUACUUGGCUCUGAUUUUGCUGGACAUCUUGAAAGGACCCUUGACUCUUUCUGAUUGGGUGGACCGGGAACGUCAAUGGGUCUGUUAAAUUUGCUUAUGCUUUAUCAAUAAUCUCAGAUGCAGAUCCGUAGUCAAUUAUUUUUAAGGUGUUCUUGGUUCCAUGCAUGAGCUCUUGCUUCUGGAGUCAUUUGGAGGAGUUGAUAUAGUUCAACCUUAUGGACCAAGGUCAGGCCACAACGCUGCAUUGCUUUAUUAAAGCGAUGCUUGUUCUUAAUUUCAGAUGCCUCAUACAGGACAGAAUCUAACAGCUCUCCUGAUCCAUUUGUGCUUUGCUUUGUACUGUAACCCAUCUUCCAGUACUUGUAUACACCGUCUUUGUGGGCAGUAGGACCCUAAAUGGUCGUAUGACAUCGAUUUUAUGGUUGAGCUUUCUUUGCAGGUGGCUUGUUUACAUAGUUGAGCUUUCUUUGCAGGUGACCUGUUGCAUAUGAUUCCGUUUAAAUCAGGUUAACAAAGUAGAGGUUUUGUUAAUCUCUUUUCUUCUCAUGGUUACAAUUGCAUUCAGGAAUUUUUAAUUGCAGAAGGAAAUGCCUCGAGCGGAAGAUAUUACGGUGCUCAGACAGUGGGAUCUUGGCUGUUAGUUUGUUGGACCUUUCUUAUGGGGCUUGUCCUUGGAGUUUGAAGUGAACGGAUAGCUAACUUUUACUUAUCGAAUUGAUCUAUUUACUUCGCUUUGUAUCUCAUGGCUUGUACUUCGUUCAUUUGUAGUUCCGGAUGGAGCAAUAGUGACAUUUUA